rnacentral:rRNA from 1 species
CUGCAACUCGCCUACAUGAAGCUGGAAUCGCUAGUAAUCGCGAAUCAGCAUGCCGCGGUGAAUACGUUCCCGGGCCUUGUACACACCGCCCGUCACACCAUGGGAGCCGGUAAUACCCGAAGUCAGUAGUCCAACCACGUGAGGACGCUGCCGAAGGUAGGAUUGGCGACUGGGGUGAAGUCGUAACAAGGUAAC